CCUACGGGUGGCAGCAGUGAGGAAUAUUGGUCAAUGGCCGCAAGGCUGAACCAGCCAAGUCGCGUGAGGGAUGACGGUCCUAUGGAUUGUAAACCUCUUUUGUCAGGGAGCAAAGGGCGCCACGUGUGGCGUUUUGCGAGUACCUGAAGAAAAAGCAUCGGCUAACUCCGUGCCAGCAGCCGCGGUAAUACGGAGGAUGCGGGCGUUAUCCGGGUUUAUUGGGUUUAAGGGGUGCGAGGGCGGAAUGUUAAGUCAGCGGUAAAAUUUCGGGGCUAAACCCCGUCGUGCCGUUGAAACUGGCGUUCUUGAGUGAGGGAGAGGUAUGCGGAAUGCGUGGUGUAGCGGUGAAAUGCAUAGAUAUCACGAAGAACUCCGAUUGCGAAGGCAGCAUACUGGCGCUCAACUGACGCUGAUGCACGAAAGCGUGGGUAUCGAACAGGAUUAGAUACCCGGGUAGUC
rnacentral:rRNA from 1 species